CGGAGCUCUUUGGCAAACAUGCAGGACGGUGGCCAUGGAAGUCGGAAUCCGCUAAGGAGUGCGUAACAACUCACCUGCCGAAUCAACGAGCCCUGAAAACGGACGGCGCUGGA
rnacentral:ncRNA from 1 species